UAACCUAAUCUACCAAAUGAAAAUUUAAAAUAACUCAAAAAUCAUCAAAAUGCUUCGAAAAUAUUACUACCUCUAAAAAAGGCUAAUGUAUAUGUAUAUUCUGCAAAUGUCAGUUCUCUAUAAUCAUUUUUAACCGAUUUACAACUAUAAACGAAAAUCGAAAAUAACGAAACUAUUAACGCCGAAAGCUUUCUAGUAUUUCUUAAAUCUAGCUAUUUCCUGUUUUUCCCAAUUAUUAUGAAAGCUACUUGGAAAAUUAAAAAAUGACCAGCCAUGGACCAUGGUAUGCUUCAAGUAAAUCCAAAAUGCAAUAAAAAAAGAUCUCUUGCUAUUUUUUGAUUAGAGUAAGAUUUCUGGUUGAGAAAACAAUAGGCAGAAAAGCAACACACAUACAUUAUAGUAAAACCAACACAUUCAUCGCUACGCUCAGGCCCGGAUUGAACUAUCGAGCUACCGAGAAAAUCUCGGUGUGCCUUACAAAAUUAUAUAUGUUUUCAAUUGAAUUUAUGUCAAUUAGAUACAUUUUGUAUGAUUUUGGGCUGGUGAAAAUCCUAAAACUUGGUGAGCUAAUACAUUCCCUACACUAAAAUAAAAUUAAAAUACAUUAUAUUAUGCAUGUUGAAUUAUAUAAAUAUUGGGACGUUUUGAACAUUUUUAAAUUUCUUGACAUUAGCGAAUAAUUAAAAAAAAAUUAUCUAUUUGAAUUAAUAUAUAAA